GGAUACAGCCAGAAGGCAGCCAUCUGCAAGCCAGGAAGAGAGCUCUUAUCAAAACCCAACCGUGCUGGCACCCUGAUCUCAGACUUCCCAGCCUCCAGAACUAAACCCAAGGAGACAUUAAAUAAUGUUGUAACUUACAAAAUGAACACACGCACCAAAUCUAGUGUUACUGUGAAGAGAAUAUUGUACUCACCACAUCCAUCUGUUCUGGAGAAGCCAGUGAGAAGGACACUCUAAACCAUUGUGGAAUCUAUGUGUUGAAGAUUGAAGAGGAAGAAGAUGGAAGGAACUAGAGUCUCUGAACGACUGCUUGGUGUAGAGUUGCCUACAGAUCACAUCUUUGAAAAUUUUAUGUGGGUCAGAAAUAA